rnacentral:rRNA from 1 species
GUAAUAUAUCGGAACGUGCCCAGUCGUGGGGGAUAACGUAGCGAAAGUUACGCUAAUACCGCAUACGAUCUAUGGAUGAAAGCGGGGGACCGUAAGGCCUCGCGCGAUUGGAGCGGCCGAUAUCAGAUUAGGUAGUUGGUGGGGUAAAGGCUCACCAAGCCAACGAUCUGUAGCUGGUCUGAGAGGACGACCAGCCACACUGGAACUGAGACACGGUCCAGACUCCUACGGGAGGCAGCAGUGGGGAAUUUUGGACAAUGGACGCAAGUCUGAUCCAGCCAUUCCGCGUGCAGGAUGAAGGCCCUCGGGUUGUAAACUGCUUUUGUACGGAACGAAAAGGUCUCUAUUAAUACUAGGGGCUCAUGACGGUACCGUAAGAAUAAGCACCGGCUAACUACGUGCCAGCAGCCGCGGUAAUACGUAGGGUGCAAGCGUUAAUCGGAAUUACUGGGCGUAAAGCGUGCGCAGGCGGUUAUGUAAGACAGAGGUGAAAUCCCCGGGCUCAACCUGGGAACUGCCUUUGUGACUGCAUAGCUAGAGUACGGUAGAGGGGGAUGGAAUUCCGCGUGUAGCAGUGAAAUGCGUAGAUAUGCGGAGGAACACCGAUGGCGAAGGCAAUCCCCUGGACCUGUACUGACGCUCAUGCA